rnacentral:misc_RNA from 1 species
UGUUAAGUGUCAAGACAAAAGGAGUGUCCCUAAAACAAGGGUGCCUGAUCAUAGUCUCAAACAGCUCCUUGCUUUGCAUUAUCUUGUUCUGAAGCAGCGAUCCACUGCCACUGCUCUCGGGUGCAAGACACAUCUGAUCAUAGUCACUGAGGGCAACACAGAACACCACCACACGCACGUCUUCAAACAUUUCCACCCAUUUGCACCCCUCGUUCAUCCCCUUUGCAUUUACCCUAAUAAGUUGGUAUUUUGUAAGCGGCGGGGGUGGAGCUUCCAGAUUAUCUGUGUAUGUUUCAGACAUUGGGCUGCGAUCCUCAAGAGAGAAUUCUAUGAAAGACAGACCAUUCCCUUUGGUGACCCCUUCUGCAU